CUACGUGCCAGCAGCCGCGGUAAUACGGAAGGUUCGGGCGUUAUCCGGAUUUAUUGGGUUUAAAGGGAGCGUAGGCCGGAGAUUAAGUGUGUUGUGAAAUGUAGACGCUCAACGUCUGACUUGCAGCGCAUACUGGUUUCCUUGAGUACGCACAACGUUGGCGGAAUUCGUCGUGUAGCGGUGAAAUGCUUAGAUAUGACGAAGAACUCCGAUUGCGAAGGCAGCUGACGGGAGCGCAACUGACGCUUAAGCUCGAAGGUGCGGGUAUCGAACAGGAUUAGAUACCCUGGUAGUCCGCACAGUAAACGAUGGAUGCCCGCUGUUGGUACCUGGUAUCAGCGGCUAAGCGAAAGCAUUAAGCAUCCCACCUGGGGAGUACGCCGGCAACGGUGAAACUCAAAGGAAUUGACGGGGGCCCGCACAAGCGGAGGAACAUGUGGUUUAAUUCGAUGAUACGCGAGGAACCUUACCCGGGCU
rnacentral:rRNA from 1 species